AUUGAACGCUGGCGGCAGGCCUAACACAUGCAAGUCGAGCGGAGCGGCGGACGGGUGAGUAAUGCCUAGGAAUCUGCAUGGUAGUGGGGGAUAACGUCCGGAAACGGGCGCUAAUACCGCAUAAUAUCAGAUGAGCCUAGUGCGGAUUAGCUAGUUGGUUGGGUAAAGGCCUACCAAGGCGACGAUCCGUAACUGGUCUGAGAGGAUGAUCAGUCACACUGGAACUGAGACACGGUCCAGACUCCUACGGGAGGCAGCAGUGGGGAAGAUUGGACAAGGGGCGAAAGCCUGAUCCAGCCAUGCCGCGUGUGUGAAGAAGGUCUUCGGAGGGUAAAGCACUUUAAGUUGGAAGGCGUUACCAACAGAAUAAGCACCGGCUAACUUCGUGCCAGCAGCCGCGGUAAUUC
rnacentral:rRNA from 1 species